UACUCACAAUGCUGUAAGUCACUUUGGAUAAAAGUGUCUCCUAAAUGGCAUAUA
rfam:Salmo salar isolate Sally breed double haploid chromosome ssa16, whole genome shotgun sequence.